AAGUCGUAACAAGGUUUCCGUAGGUGAACCUGCGGAAGGAUCAUUAAAGAUCGCUCUCUGUGACCUACUUGUCCGGGGUUCACCCUGUUCAGGUGGGUGACGGAGGGUACCAUCUACAACCCUGUCUAUGAGUACCUCAUGUCUGUUUCCUCGGUGGGGACGCUCGCCGCUGGAAACCCCCAUAAACCCUUUGCAUUAGCAUUUAAAAUCCGAUAAAAAUCUAAAUUUUUACAA
rnacentral:misc_RNA from 1 species